GAUGAACGCUGGCGGCGUGCCUAAUACAUGCAAGUCGAGCGAAGAGGGGCCGGGGGAGUAACACGUGGAUAACCUCCUAUAAGACUGGGAUAAAUUCGGGAAACCGGAGCUAAACCGGAUACUUAUCGAUGGAUCCGCGCUGCAUUAGCUCUGUGGUAAGGUAACGGCUUACCAAGGCAACGAUGCAUAGCCGACCUGAGAGGUGUAUCGGCCAUACUGGAACUUAGACACGGUCCAGACUCCUACGGGAGGCAGCAGUAGGGAAUAUUCCGCAAUGGGCGAAAUCCUGACGGAGCGACGCCGCGUGAGUUAUGAAGGUCUUCGGAUCGUAAAACUCUGUUAUUAAGGAAGCGGUACCUAAUCAGAAAGCCACGGCUAACUACGUGCCAGCAGCCGCGGUAAUAC
rnacentral:rRNA from 1 species